UACGGAGGGUGCGAGCGUUGUCCGGAAUCACUGGGCGUAAAGGGCGCGCAGGCGGCUACGCACGUCCGUUGUGAAAUCGCUCGGCUCAACUGGGCGGGGUCAGCGGAUACGGCGUAGCUGGAGCAAGCUAGGGGGCAAUGGAAUUCCCGGUGUAGUGGUGGAAUGCGUAGAUAUCGGGAGGAACACCAGUGGCGAAGGCGGUUGCCUGGAGCUUUGCUGACGCUGAGGCGCGAAAGCGUGGGGAGCGAUCCGG
rnacentral:rRNA from 1 species